CCUACGGUAGGCAGCAGUCGAGAAUCAUUCACAAUGGGGGAAACCCUGAUGGUGCGCCGCCGCGUGGGGGAAUGAAGGUCUUCGGAUUGUAAACCCCUGUCAUGUGGGAGCAAAUUAAAAAGAUAGUACCACAAGAGGAAGCGACGGCUAACUCUGUGCCAGCAGCCGCGGUAAUACAGAGGUCUCAAGCGUUGUUCGGAAUCACUGGGCGUAAAGCGUGCGUAGGCUGUUUCGUAAGUCGGGUGUGAAAGGCGCGGGCUCAACCCGCGGACGGCACAUGAUACUGCGAGACUAGAGUAAUGUAGGGGGAACCGGAAUUCUCGGUGUAGCAGUGAAAUGCGUAGAUAUCGAGAGGAACACUCGUGGCGAAGGCGGGUUCCUGGACAUUAACUGACGCUGAGGCACGAAGGCCAGGGGAGCGAAAGGGAUUAGAUACCCGAGUAGUC
rnacentral:rRNA from 1 species